rnacentral:rRNA from 1 species
CCUACGGGGGGCAGCAGUGAGGAAUAUUGGUCAAUGGCCGGAAGGCUGAACCAGCCAAGCCGCGUGAAGGACGAAGGUGCCAAGCAUUGUAAACUUCUUUUGUCAAGGGACAAAAUCAGGCUCGAGAGCCUGACCGAGGGUACUUGAAGAAAAAGCAUCGGCUAACUCCGUGCCAGCAGCCGCGGUAAUACGGAGGAUGCGAGCGUUAUCCGGAUUUAUUGGGUUUAAAGGGUGCGUAGGCGGACUGUUAAGUCAGCGGUAAAAGCCCGGGGCUCAACCCCGGCGAGCCGUUGAAACUGGCUGUCGUGAGGUGGCGAGAGGUAUGCGGAAUGCGCAGUGUAGCGGUGAAAUGCUUAGAUAUUGCGCAGAACUCCGAGUGCGAAGGCAGCAUACCGGCGGCGAUCUGACGCUGAGGCACGAAAGCGUGGGUAUCGAACAGGAUUAGAUACCCGAGUAGUC